rnacentral:lncRNA from 1 species
AACAUACCUGAGGCAGCCACAGACAGCAGCUCCAUGAUAACAGAAUCAGCGCCUUUUGUAUACACCACGACUUGUUUGGAAAGAGGAUGCCUGACCACGACCGACAUUCUUUUCCUUACAGAGUCAAAGGGCAGAAUGUGUAGGAGUUAAAAUGUUAAUGAGCCCAAAGCAGCAAAGUCCACCAUGACCUGCUCUGGGGUCCGAGACUGUAAAGUGCAACGGUAAGCUCUGGCGGCAUACACCAAAGCUGCUUCAUCUGGACUCUCCGCCUCAUAGCACAGCAAGCUGAGUUACUGGCCUGGGGGAUUUCAUCCAUUUGGGAAGACUCGUCCUCCAUAGGAGGUGACAGUUUUGGUCGACUAAAGAAAGAGAUUCUGCUCACAAAGGCACAGGGAGUCCCAGAGGAUGAAUCCUUCCCACUGGCAAGGGACGGUGAACUUGAUCUCCGGACGGACAAUUUCUGGAAGAUGUUUUUAAUCUCUUCCAAGGACUUGAUGGGCAUUCCACCCAGUGAGGAGAGUCCAAUCUAGGAAUGACAGUGGAACAAGUUCUCAUUAACACGUACAAAAUGAGGUCAUUACAAUUCUGAAAGUGUAACUGCCGUCUUAACUGCCAAUCUGUAGUCUCUCUACAAAUUCCAUAGCAAACAGGAAGGCAAAUAAAAGUCACCAGGGAAAACGACGCUACACGUG